rnacentral:rRNA from 2 species
CCGUAGGUGAACCUGCGGAAGGAUCAUUAUUG